CUAAAGAUGGUCUUUAAAAUACACACGUUCUCGAUCAAAACUAGGAAAUGCAUUGGGGCAAAUCUUGUAAAAGCUUAAAAAACCAUGAAAAAGAAAGAGAAAUAUCGAUAGACGGAAUAAGGAAAUAAAAAAUGUUACCGUUAGCCCACAUAAAACCCCGUCAGAAACCUACAUAUACCUAAACCCUUCAUUCUUCUUCAACACCAAGCUACCCCAAGAAAAAUCUCUUCAACUUCAACCCACGAAAAUUAGGGUUUUCAUAUUUGAAAGGCAAAGUUGCUAGAAUGGAGGAAAAUAUGCAGUUCAUCCGUUGCUUUAGUGGAGGGAAAUGCACAUUUGUUUACUGAAAGUCAGUUCUUCUCAAUUGCUGAUUUUAUGAUGUGUGCAGGGGAGGGGAAACAUUGAGCUUCAUAAUCAGUUGUCAAAGCGACCUGCUGAUCUUCUUCAAAUCAUAAAUUAGUUUUGAAGAUGUGUGCAGGGGAGGGGAAACAUUGAGCUUCAUAAUCAAUGAAAGAAUGGCUUCUGAUUAUCAUCAUUUGUAAAUUAGUUGCUAUAGUUGAGGAAAAUACACAUAUGUGUACUGAAAGUUAGUUCCUGUCAACCGAUGCUUUGGUGGAGAUGAAUGUGUUAAGACAGACACAGACUGACCCAAUUUUGAAGGAAAACCAGACAUCAAUGAUAUGCCAAUGGAAGAAAAUAAGGUAACAUAUGUUUUUAAGUUCUUGUAUAAUUAAAAAGGGCUAAAUGCAAGAAACAACAACAUUUUUUUCUUAGAUAUGCUUAUUAAAUCAAUUUAUGAGGUUGUAAACAAUUGGUUAUACUUUGAGUGACUUUUAAAGACAAUUGCAAGUUUGGUCCCUAUAGUAUGUCAAAAAUUGGAUGUUUGGCCAAAAAUGUUUUGGAGUUGCACAAGUGGUCCAAAAUUUUCAGAACUUUUUUUUACAGAUUUGCCCUUGGUAUUUUCCUUUUUUUAAUUAGGGUGGUGGUGGUAGCAUUUACCAGUUAUGGUAUGUGUGAGAGAGAGAGAGGGGGGGGGGAGGGUGGAUUAGGGGCAGAGGUAGUAUUUUUUUUGUUUUUUAUAAUUGUUGUAAUAAAAAAAGAAAAUUAAAAAACAAAACUAAAGGGCAAACUCGUCAUUUUAAAAAAAGUCAAAACAAAUUGGACCAAACUCGUAAUAAAAUGGAAGUUUUGGACCAUUGGUGCAACUCCAAAAUAUUUUGGACCAAAUAUCCAAUUUUUGACAUACCACAGGGACCAAACUUGCAAUUUUGUCACUUUUAAACCAUACAACUGUUUUUUUACAUCUAAAUUCCUCAGUUUUAUUUAUGAAUAAAAUAUAACCAAUUUUAAUUGUAGCAUUUUCAUGAAAUGGUAGAAGUUUCCACUUGUAGACUUCAUCAACAUGGAUGUUUGCAGUUAUAUCAAGCUCUAAUUGCAAGAAAUAAAAACAUACUUUCAUUUACUUGUUUUUUUAUUGCAUCAUAUGUUCAUGUCUUUCUAUUGUGAAUCUCUUUGCUUAUUAAGACAUUGCAAUUUAAAAAAUUAUAUCCAGUUAUAGCGUUGUACUUGAAAUAUUUUUUAAUUGGGAGGCAAACACUGUUUUCCUUGAGCAACAUAAAGGUAACUAACAUUUGUUACAAAAAAAAUCCUGCUCACACCUGUUUCUUUCAAGUCAUUUAUUUGGUGAUUUUGUAGAUUCGUUGUAGCUGAAAUGAUAUAUUGUUUAGAACCAAACAAAAAGGCAGAAGCCAUCACUUUGAUCCAAGAAUCACUCAGUAACUCCCCCAUUUCAAGUAUCGGAUCACUUGGUGGAUCUGUGAAAGAAUGGAAGCUCAAAGACUGUGUUGCAGUUCACAAGAUUUUGGUCUCUACUUUUGAUGAUCGGGAUGCUGCUCUGAGAUGGAAAAAGCGAUGUGGAGAAGAAUUUCCAUACUCAACCUACUUUGAAGGGAGCCUGUGCUAUAAGAAAUAGAAAUUACACAUACACCCUUUAAGAAGUGGAAAUCAUAAACGCACCCUUUGCACCUCCGCUCCCUUAAUUUUCUUUUGUGAGUAGGGUUGCAGAAGAUAAACGCCACCUGUCACCCCUUUCACCCCAUCUCUUUCACAUCACACGUCGCCUUAUAAACCCUCAAAAACUAUCAAAUCUCUCUCUACUCUCAUUCUCUAUACAUACUUUCUCUCUCUACAAAUCGUCUAAUCUGCAACACAAACAAUGGGCGCUUCGCUUCCUCCUAAAAGCUCUACAAUCUUAAUGAGUUUAAUGACUUUGCCAAUUCGUAAUAUCUUCCUCCCCACUCUUUAAAACCCUAGUUAUCUUUAUGUGCAUGAAAGGUAUUGUAUUGUUGACUGGUUAGUCUUGUAUUGUGAAGAUUUUGGAUCGUAAAUUGUAAAUUCUUAAGUAUGUGUCUCGUAAACGUACGAUUUUCUGUAAUCUUGAUUAGGUUUGGGUUCAGGAGAAUGGCUGGAUGUUGGUUUCAUUGAUUACUAAUGUGUUUUGGUUUAUCACAUUGAAUGAAUUGUGGAAAUUUUGUUA